rnacentral:rRNA from 1 species
AGAGUUUGAUCCUGGCUCAAGAUGAACGCUGGCGGCAUGCCUAAUACAUGCAAGUCAAACGAAGUCUUCAGGAAUCUUGCUUCCAAAAAGACUUAGUGGCGAACGGGUGAGUAACACGUAUGUAACCUGCCCAUGUGUCCGGGAUAUCUGCUGGAAACGGUAGCUAAAACCGGAUAGGUAUACAGAGCGCAUGCUCAGUAUAUUAAAGCGCCCAUCAAGGCGUGAACAUGGAUGGACCUGCGGCGCAUUAGCUAGUUGGUGAGGUAACGGCCCACCAAGGCGAUGAUGCGUAGCCGGCCUGAGAGGGUAAACGGCCACAUUGGGACUGAGACACGGCCCAAACUCCUACGGGAGGCAGCAGUAGGGAAUUUUCGUCAAUGGGGGAAACCCUGAACGAGCAAUGCCGCGUGAGUGAAGAAGGUCUUCGGAUCGUAAAGCUCUGUUGUAAGUGAAGAACGGCUCAUAGAGGAAAUGCUAUGGGAGUGACGGUAGCUUACCAGAAAGCCACGGCUAACUACGUGCCAGCAGCCGCGGUAAUACGUAGGUGGCAAGCGUUAUCCGGAAUCAUUGGGCGUAAAGGGUGCGUAGGUGGCGUACUAAGUCUGUAGUAAAAGGCAAUGGCUCAACCAUUGUAAGCUAUGGAAACUGGUAUGCUGGAGUGCAGAAGAGGGCGAUGGAAUUCCAUGUGUAGCGGUAAAAUGCGUAGAUAUAUGGAGGAACACCAGUGGCGAAGGCGGUCGCCUGGUCUGUAACUGACAUUGAGGCACGAAAGCGUGGGGAGCAAAUAGGAUUAGAUACCCUAGUAGUC